GAUGAACGCUGGCGGCGUGCCUAAUACAUGCAAGUCGAGCGAACAGACGAGGAGCUUGCUCCUCUGACGUUAGCGGCGGACGGGUGAGUAACACGUGGAUAACCUACCUAUAAGACUGGGAUAACUUCGGGAAACCGGAGCUAAUACCGGAUAAUAUAUUGAACCGCAUGGUUCAAUAGUGAAAGACGGUUUUGCUGUCACUUAUAGAUGGAUCCGCGCCGCAUUAGCUAGUUGGUAAGGUAACGGCUUACCAAGGCAACGAUGCGUAUCCGACCUGAGAGGGUGAUCGGCCACACUGGAACUGAGACACGGUCCAGACUCCUACGGGAGGCAGCAGUAGGGAAUCUUCCGCAAUGGGCGAAAGCCUGACGGAGCAACGCCGCGUGAGUGAUGAAGGUCUUCGGAUCGUAAAACUCUGUUAUUAGGGAAGAAAAAAUGUGUAAGUAACUAUGCACGUCUUGACGGUACCUAAUCAGAAAGCCACGGCUAACUACGUG
rnacentral:rRNA from 1 species